rnacentral:ribozyme from 1 species
CAAGAAGAAGAACAAGAAAAAAAAAAAAAAGGAUAAGAUCUUCCUUUUUUUUUAAAAGAUGGUUUGUUUUUUUUUUUCGUUUUUC